rnacentral:rRNA from 1 species
ACGUUAGCGGCGGACGGGUGAGUAACACGUGGGUAACCUACCUAUAAGACUGGGAUAACUCCGGGAAACCGGGGCUAAUACCGGAUAACACAUGAAACCGCAUGGUUUCAUGAUGAAAGACGGUUUUGCUGUCACUUAUAGAUGGACCCGCGGCGUAUUAGCUAGUUGGUAAGGUAACGGCUUACCAAGGCAACGAUACGUAGCCGACCUGAGAGGGUGAUCGGCCACACUGGAACUGAGACACGGUCCAGACUCCUACGGGAGGCAGCAGC